UACGUAGGUGCCAAGCGUUGUCCGGAUUUACUGGGCGUAAAGAGCGCGCAGGCGGUCGUUCAAGUCGAGUGUGAAAGCCCCCGGCUCAACUGGGGAGGGUCACUCGAUACUGAUCGACUCGAAGGCAGGAGAGGGUAGUGGAAUUCCCGGUGUAGUGGUGAAAUGCGUAGAUAUCGGGAGGAACACCAGUGGCGAAGGCGACUACCUGGCCUGUUCUUGACGCUGAGGCGCGAAAGCUAGGGGAGCAAACGGG
rnacentral:rRNA from 1 species